rnacentral:rRNA from 1 species
CACGUAGGGGGCGAGCGUUGUCCGGAUUUAUUGGGCGUAAAGAGCUCGUAGGCGGCUCACUAAGUCGGGUGUGAAAUUUCGAGGCUCAACCUCGAAACGCCACCCGAUACUGGUGUGGCUAGAGUCCGGUAGGGGAGCGUGGAAUUCCUGGUGUAGCGGUGAAAUGCGCAGAUAUCAGGAGGAACACCAGCGGCGAAGGCGGCGCUCUGGGCCGGUACUGACGCUGAGGAGCGAAAGCCAGGGGAGCGAACGGG